rnacentral:rRNA from 1 species
UACGGAGGGUGCAAGCGUUAUCCGGAUUCACUGGGUCUAAAGGGUGCGUAGGAGGGCAGGUAAGUCAGUGGUGAAAUCCCCGAGCUUAACUUGGGAACUGCCGUUGAUACUAUCUGUCUUGAAUACCGUGGAGGUGAGCGGAAUAUGUCAUGUAGCGGUGAAAUGCUUAGAUAUGACAUAGAACACCAAUUGCGAAGGCAGCUCGCUACACGAAUAUUGACUCUGAGGCACGAAAGCGUGGGGAUCAAGCAGG